rnacentral:rRNA from 1 species
UCAGGCCUAACACAUGCAAGUCGAACGAUGAAGCUGGAGCUUGCUCCGGUGGGUUAGUGGCGAACGGGUGAGUAACACGUGAGCAAUCUGCCCUUGACUCUGGGAUAACUGCGGGAAACUGUAGCUAAUACCGGAUAUGAGGCUUGGAGGCAUCUCCAGGCCUGGAAAGAAUUUCGGUCAAGGAUGAGCUCGCGGCCUAUCAGCUAGUUGGUGAGGUAAUGGCUCACCAAGGCGACGACGGGUAGCCGGCCUGAGAGGGGGGCCGGCCACACUGGGACUGAGACACGGCCCAGACUCCUACGGGAGGCAGCAGUG